ensembl:lncRNA
GAGACUUCCCAGAGGAAAGACUCAAGGCCAGGAGCUCCUGUCUCACUCAUCCAGGCUUGGGACAAAUGGAAAGCCCUGUGAAUCAGACUGAUGGGCAUUUGCUCCUAGGGAACAGCACAAGCCUGCUUCCCAACUCUUGUCAGCCUGCUUUAAAGCACUGGCUUUCCAGCAAGGCACCACAAUCCUGCCUUCUUCCCCACCUGGGGAGCUCAGACUAAAUGCCAGCAGCAUCCUUCAUGAUCUUUGGUCUUAUCUACUGAUUGGCCAGCGUAGCAUCAUGGAGGCUUUACACAAAGGGGAAUGCUUAGGUUCUAAGUAUGAGAAGAUUCAAGGAUUGGGACAAAAAAAAGCAGACAUAUCUUGCAUACAAUUCAGAAAGAGCCAAGAAAUGGGAAAAGAGGGAAGCAGGGAGAGAUGUGUUUAAUAAGAAAGAUAAGAAUGCAAAGAAGAGGCAAGGAGGGAACCUGGAAGGAAUCCUCUGAACCACAACGGGUAAUGUUGAUCAGACGAAGCUAGCCCAUCUUCAAGUGAGGGAACCUGGAGGAUGGAAAGAUGAGAAGUAACCAAGACAACCUAAAUGAAGGUACAGAAGAGUGGUCCACCCUGAUGAGUAUCCUGAGAGAUGUAAAUGGAGACUCAGAAGAGAUCUACAGACAUGGGACCAUAGUUUCUGAGGCCUCAGACAGAAGUGACAUUGUUCCAAGGUGUCCAGACCAGAGCCUCAACUCCAUGAUCCAGUCUGAGAUUUGUUUGUGGCUAAGAAAUUCACUGUUGUCUACAUCCAGGCUGCAAAAUGUCAAAAGGGGCCCUGCUACCUGUUCCUGAAUGAUAGGAGUGUGUAGAAGAGAAAGGAAGAAAGGAGCUGGGGUAGUCACACCUGUACAUCUUCAAGGCACAGUCAAUCAGCAACCACAAAGAUGCAGCAAAGAACAGGUUACACCUGUUACCUGCUGGCUUCUCCUGGAGAUUCCUUUUUUCCCUGCAGAAGGUGAAAUGGCACAAGAAUUCAGGAGAGAGACAGUGGACUGAGGAGCUGGAAAACAAAUCAAAACAUUGGUGCGAUUAUGGUUCUGUUGUUCUGCUGACACAAACUGAGACUUGGCCUCUGUACAGCACAAUGGUUGGAAGAACAGUUGCUGCAGGAAGACUACCUGGGUCUGAACCCUGGCUUCCCCACUGAGUAGCUGUGUGUCCUUGGGCCUUUAGCCUUUCUGUUAUUUAGGCUUUCAGCUGUUAUUUAGCCUUUCUGAGCUUUGGUUCCUCAUCUGCAAAAUGGGGAUAACAAUAAUAUUGGCUUCAUAGGAUUGCUAUAGGGUUAAAUGAGUGUAUGUAUGUAAACUUAUCCCUAACUUAAAUUAGUGCCUGGCUAAUUAGUAAGAGCUCAGAGAGUGUAAGCAUCAGUGAUGAUGAUAAUGAUGAAGAUACAUAAUGACGAUGAUGAUGGUAGCGAUGGUGAUGAUGGUGAUGGUGAUGAUGAAAAAGAUAAUUGUGGUGGUGGUGAUGGUAGUGAUGAUGGUAAUAAAGGAUUGUUUGGUUUCCAGGGAAGCUCUUCACACCUUCCCAAGCAUAAUUAUCUCCUUUACCCAGCAUUUCUUCCCAAACCACUUCACACAUUCACACACAGACACACACACAGACACACAAUGUCUCAUCAAAGCUAAUAUUUUAAUUAUAGAUGACAAGGCAUUGUAUAUGAACUUAAGAAACACAGGUCAGUCACCUUGAGGCCCCACUGACUCAUUUCAUGUCACCAGAAGAAUCCUUCCACCACUGAAUGACUCACCUCCUCUCCAUCUCCUUACAUGGGAAGAACAAUGCUUCCCUCCUCUCUCAUGGUGCAAGAGUAAGUGGCUUUAUUU